rnacentral:rRNA from 1 species
GACGAACGCUGGCGGCGUGCUUAACACAUGCAAGUCGAACGGAAAGGCCCUGCUUUUGUGGGGUGCUCGAGUGGCGAACGGGUGAGUAACACGUGAGUAACCUGCCCUCGACUUUGGGAUAACUUCAGGAAACUGGGGCUAAUACCGGAUAGGAGCUCCUGCUGCAUGGUGGGGGUUGGAAAGUUUCGGCGGUUGGGGAUGGACUCGCGGGUUAUCAGCUUGUUGGUGGGGUAGUGGCUUACCAAGGUUUUGACGGGUAGCCGGCCUGGGAGGGUUACCGGCCACAUUGGGACUGAGAUACGGACCAGACUCCUACGGGAGGCAGCAGUGGGGAAUAUUGCACAAUGGGCGGAAGCCUGAUGCAGCAACGCCGCGUGCGGGAUGACGGCCUUCGGGUUGUAAACCGCUUUCGCCUGCGACGAAGCGUGAGUGACGGUAAUGGGUAAAGAAGCACCGGCUAACUACGUG